ACCAGCAAUAUUACAAUUACAUAUAUUAUUAUAUAUAUUACAAUUACAUAUAUUACGUAUAUUAUAGUGUUCAUCUAUUACAUCUACAUUGUCUAUUAUUUCCAAUUCUACUAAUAAUUCUCAAAAUAAUACUGAACUUUCAAAACACUAUUCCUUUCUCCCCUUUCGUUCACGAAUUAACCAUCUAUUACUUCCAAUUCUACGAAUAAUACUCUAGGUGAACUCAGGAAAUAUUACACACCGAAUCUUCGAUACAAUUUAUAAUAAUUUCCAAUCCAUUUUUUUUUGUACAUAAAUAAAUCUUCUGUUACAUCAACAAUAACAAUUCUAUUAACUCAAUUUUGUGGAUAUACAUAUAGAUUAUAUUUUCAAUGCUAUUGAAUUUUCAUCCCUUUCUGUCGUAUACAAAUUAAUCGUCCGUUAUUUCGAAUUCUACAAACAAUACCAUAAAUCAAUGCAGACAAUAUUAUAAACCAAAUUGACGCAAUGAUUCUACUGUUACUGCGACCAUUUUAAAAUAAAUCUAUACGAAAGAAAAUAUUAUAAAUCGAAUUUCCAAUGCAAUUGGAUUUCCGACACGUUGUUUAAAUGCCGAAAUUAAUCGUUCAUCGCUUCCUUUAAUUCCAUAAGGUAAUCGAAGCAACGCACAGUGCGGCAUACAGUGGAUAAAAAUCGAAAUAAUCAUUGUUUCAUCUUAAUCUUAUUACUCGAUGAUAUCAUCAGUCUUUAAAUAAUGUAAAUGUAAACAAUAAUUGUCACAAAAAUUUAAUUUAUCCAAUUUAAAAAAUUCUUUCCUUCUUUGAAGAUCUAUUUUAGAAAGAAACGAUUCAAGCCAUCCUGUAAUUUUGAUUAUUCUAUUCCAAGUAGGUUUUGUAUUACAUUGUCAUAUAAUUUUCUUGCUACGAACUGUUACACUGAAUCUUCUUCAUUUUUUUUUUGGUGAAAUCCAUUCGUAAUUGCGACUUGGUUGAAGAGUGGAUUUCUGACCACGCUUAAUCCAAGAACAUUUUUAAAACUACGCAAAACUUCUGUUCUUUACUCUGUUUCGAAUGUCAGCACAAUAUUCGACGGAACGAAAGGGAAGAUAAAUAAUUUUCGCAUAGCACCUACGAAAAAAUGGAAAGAUUGUUUCCGGCAUCGGCACUAUUUACUUAAACGUCACCGUGCGUGGUUAGACAAAGAAAUAAGUAUUCGCGACAUUUCAAGUAAACCAGACAGUAGGGAAAAUACAAAGAUUUGAUAAACAGAUUUUUAUUCAUGUCGCAUCUCCUGUUAUCAGGUUUCAGGAAAGCUGUACAUUAAAUGCAUUUUUUAUCUUUGUUCCGAAUUUUCAUUCAAAUGCCGUACUGUGGAACGUGACAAUGUGGACAAAUUGUCCAGACAACGUGAAUGUGGCAAACGUCGCCUGCAAACGUACAAAUGUAGCCUACACCUGAUCUGCGAACGUGAACGACGAACGUGAACUACGAACAUGAACUACGAACGUGAGCUACGAACAUGCGGGCCUGCGAACGUAGCCAGUGAAUUUUGAUUUUUGUGCCGAACCCUCAUUCAAAUGCCGCAUUGUGCAACGUGACAAUUAACUAACAGUUGAAGUGGAUUAAAAAAAAAAGAGUCACUGUACCAUAUGAAAGAGCUCGUUCUUGCACAUAUACAUACGUCAUACAGCACGAUCGAUCCUUGUGCUCAUUCUUGUGCAGAUGCAAAGUGUCGUGAAAGCGCGUUUCGAGAAAAGGUAAAAUGCAAUUACCCCAGGCCACGAUAUCUCACUGGCGGCUCUCCGUGAGGCAAUAUCUCGAUAAAGCCUCGAAAGCAAUUGCUAGUGUUCUUCCUGCGGCCUGGGAAAAGAAUCGAAAGCUCGGAUCGUGGAAACAUCGCUCAACAGAAUGGCUUGCGCGGGAUAGAAACGAAAAACAACAGGCAGAAAACGUGGAAAACGUUUCCCGGGGCAUGCAAUCUGCAAUUUCUCAUUAAUAUCAAUCACGUCAAAUCUAGAAUUAAUGCGAUUUCAAUCGUUCGCUAUUAAUUUUGAUUUUGAAAUAAUUUCACUCUCACUUUAUUUUUAUCGGUUCAAUAUCGUUUUCAUCAGUUUUCUAUGCUUAUCUCUUCGCUAUUUUGCACUUGUUGGCAAUUUUAAUUAUUUGGUGUUGUAAAUAUACAUGUAAUUAAUUAUUUGAUCAAGUACUUUAGUCUGAUUAACGCUAUUGUUCAAUCGUUUGCUUCUUUUUUCUCCUGUUUAUCUUUCUCUCAUUUCUGAAGGAUUUAUUGAUAGUUCUAUAGACUUGCUUUAUUAAACUAAUCAUCUUUUAAUCGUUCUCUGAAUCAUUUUCGAUCGAAUCAUAUUUUUCUAGCGUUCGAAAAAUUUCUUAAAUUUGAGGAACAUGUAAAAAAAUCAUUACUGCGUGAUCUGCAUGAUCUCUUGUCUCAAUUAUAUAUAUCGAUGUUUUCCCCAAAACAUUAAACUUCUUUUCUCCAGUGAAAUUAAGAUAAGAUUGAAACGUAAAAAGUUUGAGGAACGCAGCGGAAUUAAUUAAGAUUAGAAUUAAUAAUUCGAUUUCGAUUAACAUCUUUUCUUAUCUCUUUGCUUUUCUUCUUCUCUCGUCUGUUUCAGUUUUGUUUUUUAGGGGGUUGUCGGUAAUUUUAAACAUCUGAGUUUGAUGAUUACCGAGGGUGGCAGAACACGUUUGCUCCGAGAUGCCAUUAAGGUUUUAGCGUACAAUUUCGUGCAUUUUAAUGAGCAAUAAAGUUCCCUGGUUAAACAAAAGCUCCAUAAACGACCGUUAAUUUGAUUUCUAGCUGCAACAAUUUUACCCAUCGUUGAACGCGAUUCUUCGUUCCCAGUUUGAGUUUGCAAGUUCGAAUUGCUAAUUAAAAGGUGUAUCGCGAAGUUUAUGGCUUAGCUAUGAGUCAAUCAACUAGUUUUCUUCGCGAAGUUACCUUCGAGAAACAACGCAGAUUCUUGCCAUUCGUUUAUUUACAAACAAUAUAAUUCGACAUCUAUUUUUAGUAUAUAUAACAAGAAUUUUGUUUGCUUAUGAGAAGAAAAAUUAGAAUGAAUUGCAGCUUUUUAUUUGAACAUUUUAUUUAAACAUUUUGAAUUUCUAACAUUAUUCAAAAUAAUGUUAAUUUCAUUUUAUCGCUAACAUAAUUUGAGUGCAGUUUUUAAUUACUGUAAACUAGUCUUCAAAAAGUGCUCACCCAUUUCAAAGCUUAUUGGGUAACGUUGCAAAAGUAGCGGGAUAUAAUAAACAGACCGCGGAUUAUUAUGUUUUUGCAAGGAAAUGUACGAGACUGUGCAGAGUAUACAUGAUAUUUAAAAAGGUAUAAAAUUCCUAACGUAAAGUUCUCGUUAUAACAUCUAAAGUGAAACAGACCCUUACUCAGGUUUCACUUCUUCAGUGUUCAUGCAAAUAUAAAUUUGCAUAACAAUCCACCGUUUAAUAAUGCAAUUACUUUCUUAAUAAUAAAAUUAGUAACUAACAAUUAUUAUAGAUAAAUCAUUUCAUAAAUGAAUCAAUGGUAUAUCGAUGAAAUACGAUAGUGAAGUAAUAAAUAGAAGUCAAAUUUUCAAAAUCAAAAAGUUACUUUCUAUGUAACUUUCAAACAGCACAAUAUUAAAGAGAAUCAAAAGAUCUAUAAAAAUAUUACGCUCGAUUAUGUAUGUACACGAUUUCCCAUCGAUUCUCGCGAGUUUAACGCGAAAACCUCCUAAAUACGACCGUACCACGAAUAAUAUGUAAAAUCCUCAUCAUAUCCACGCUAUGCUAUUGCGAGACUUGUUUACACGGUAUAAACCUCUGGUAAAUCGAGUGACACGCACAUGAGCACAAUGUAUAAUAACAUGUAUAAUCACGAUAUUCCUCGGCCACUGUGAUAACAUUACGGCGGUUACGUUAUAUCUCUACGUUCCUACGUUUCGAUAUGAAUAAUAACACUUCGAGAACUACCGAAAAGAAAUUUCAUCGGUCACGAGAAUUAGCUAAGAUAAAUAUGUUUAAAACACAACUGUCAUCACGCUGAUCGGUCAAAACGAGCGACAAAGUUUAGUAACUUUGAUCAUAUUGAUAGCAUGUACUUUAAUCAAGAUUGUCAAUAUCAAUCAAGAAGUAAAUAUAAAGAUAAGAAAUGAUAGUUCUAUUUUUGUUUGAGUUUCAUUUUUGAAAGAAAAACAUAACUGAAUACAUUGCAAUUGUAAGGAGACAAUUUGAGUUUCCAGCAAUUUAAAUAGAAAACUUUGUUUUCUUCCAAACGUACUAUAAAUUUAUAGUUACGUAUAUCGGUGGUAAACACUUCUGUUGAAUUUGGAACAUACGCCUCUUUUUCAUUUCCGAUAAAUACAGUUUCAGUUUGUAUUUAAAUUGGAGUUUAAGUUUGAGCUUCAAAAUUGGAUGCAACAAUGAAAGACGCUUUUUUUCAUUUUCCAAGAAACUUUCCGAACGAUAUCAUGCACGUUUUUUUAAUCGAACCGUAUGUGUAUCUUCCCCUGUGUUCUCAUAAAACAAAAAAUUAUAUAAAGUCAACAAACAUAAUAACCAUCAACGUCAAUGUGUACAAAAUGUAGCUGCUUCCUUCCCUGCUAUUGCAAUUUCUUUAGUUGUUAAGUAAAAAAAAAAAAUCGUAGCCAGUUUGUACAAGGAUAAAUGUCUUUCAUAACAAAAGCUAAUAAAAUCGCAAACAGCUUGAUGAAAAGCUCCAUUGUGUCCUAAGAAAACAUUUACGACCGCGAUUCCCGUGUACGAAUUUUAUGAUUGUUUCUCAUGCGUCCAUUUCGCGAAUAUUCGUCGCAAAUCGUGAGUCGUACGUUCGUGGGCUGCUUUGAGGAAAAGCAGCAUAAAUUUUCUAGCUUUCGACAAAGCAACUCAACCAGACGAUAAAUAGACUGCUUAAUUCUUAUUCAUACAAGUUGUUAAAGUCAUUGUUUCGUACGAAACACCCUUAGUAUCCAUCAUUCCGGAAGUAGAUGCUCGCUUUUACGCUAUCGUUUUAAUUUUAGUCUCUAAAUUAUACGUUUAAGUAAAAGAUGCAUGAAAAGUGAACGCUGCAGCUGUAUAUUUUCCAUGUGAAAACCGAAGGUAAUUGCGAUUCAUUGUUGCUAUCUAAUCGAACAUCUUACCUACAAUGUACACUAUGAAAAUUGAAGCCAUAUUUCGAUUAAUUUUAUUAGGUCACUUUAUAAGUAACGCAAUUUUUCCGGUGACUGGAGGUCAAUGAAACUCGUCACGAUAAAAGUUUUACAGCGGAAUAGAUGUUAUAGUCAUAUAGUUCCACGCAAUAUAUGUAUAUUAUGUAUGUACAUAUAAAUUCUUCGUUAUUUUGACCCAGAAAAUAUUCAAAUAAAGCAAGUGUAAAUUUUAUUCUUUAUUCUUUACUCAUUUUACAACGUUUCGUAAUCCCGCUACGGCUCUUGAACUUCUCUAUAUUCCAAUUUUGCUCUCGUUUAAUCAAGAAUACUUUUAAUCCCUUAAGGGAAAAUUUAAUACAAGAUUAAAUUGAGUAAGAAACGACGCAGAGCACAAAAUAACACAAAUAGCAAUGCUAUAUUAAUCAACUAAUCUAAACUCUGUCUGUAACGCUAGUUAGAAAUAAAUUACCAUCCUCCUAUCGGUAAUUAAACUUUUAUCCGAUAGCCGUCUGUUACAUAAUGAGCUCGUGCUAUCGUUAAUGAUCUCGAACGACGUAUCAGCCAACGAUAAUAGAACGAACAGCCGACCAACAACUACAAACGAAUUCCACCUUGCCCGACGCCUUUCGUUCUUUGUAAUAAUAAAGAAAAGCAUGCAUAUGCUUUUGACAAAAUUAAUAUUGAGACAAAAAGACGAUUAUUUGUAUAUACCUAUAUCUAUUUACAACAUAUCGUUUGAAUUUGUAUAAUUUAUAUCUGUUAAAAUCUUUAAGUAUAUGUUAGAAAGCGACAGGUGUAAUCUCAAAUAAUGAGAUUAAUUACUAAGAAAUUGAGCGCAAUUUGAAGGCAGGAGUCGUUAGAAAAGCCAACAAACAAAGGAAGUCGCGGAGAAACGCGAGCCGAAGAAACGUGAAACGUAAAGUGAGCCAUCGAGAACAUGGCAAAAGAUCGAAAAUAACGUGAUUAUAACGCAAUGGCAACGGAAAUUAAAAGCUACGUCGCGGGAGAAUAAAAGCACCAAGAACAACGAAAUAACAGGCGAAAGAAAGAAUUUCGCGGUCGUUGUACUUACGAGAUAGAGGAAGCCCCAUUGACUUUAAUAGCUCGAACGUUUCGCAAGAACGUUUUCCCUAGGGUACACCAACGAGAGACGAUCAUUCCGACUGGUCGAUGAAUUAAUAUUCGUGCAACGACGCCGAUAAGGGGAGGUGACCGACCUUUUAUAUUUACGACAGAUGCGCACGCAUCGGAAAACACGCAUUAUGCGUGUUUCGUUGGAUGAUGACCGAUAGAAAUCGUACGCGAGACCUUGAUCAUGAAUUUCGUCGACUGACUUAUUAAGAAUCGACAUUUUAUUUGCAACUUCUCGAUAAUUUACGUUACCAAGUUCUGCUUUUUUCGACGUUGUAAUUGAAAAACGAUGUUCAAUGACUGGAUUAAUAUAUUUUCCGUCAUUAUUUUGUCUAUCGAUUAGAUUCUACACUCUUAGCAAGUUUGGAGAGAUUGAAAUAUUUGUAGCAGCACGAUAAAACGCACUGCCUUUUUUCUUUAAGGCAUAGACAUUUUUCUUUUUGUAUAUUUCAUCUCUAUUAUCAAUAAAUCUGUGUUUAUGAUUCUAGAAAAUUGUCAACGCUUCAAUAAAACAAUAUAAGAUAAGAUAAACUCUCUGGAUAAUUUUACGUUUCCGCGCAAAAUGAAAUAAAAUGUAAUAAAAUAAUAAUCUUGGGUGAAGUAUUGUUGUUAUGUAACUGACUUAAUUCCGAUGAAUCGAGAGAUUAAUUGUAAAUGCGAACAAAUAGACGAAUGAUUUGCAUUUCAUAGCAAAUAAACUUGUUUCGUAAUUCGCGAAUCGAAAACAAGUAAACGCUCAACUUAUUUUCUCGCAUCUCAUUCAAAGUUCAGCCAAAUCGAAGAUGCAGUUUCGGAAGUUCGAGAUAAAUAUUGAUUUUAUCUCAAAAGUUUAAAGGAAGAAGCUAUCUUCUUUUUCUUUUUCAAAUAAAAAGAAUAUUGGCUUUCUCGCUGAUAAAUGUGUACACGUCAUUCCAACUACGAAAUCCGUGACCACAUUUGUUUUGCGUCGAUUGCCAAGAAGAGAAAACCUGUCCCGACCGAGAACCUACAGCGAACUCCAUUUUAGAAUUUAUGGAGUCGAAUUGUAAGACUGCAGAAUUCUGUUCGAGCGAAAUCCAAACCCUUGUAUUGUAAAUAGCAAGUCACUGGCAAAAAUGCAUCAACUCAGUCUUAUAAAUCUCGAUUAAUAAAUUUAUUUUGCCAAGAAGACAAUAUGCUUUCAUCGCGAUCUAGCGAAAUGGAAAUAAUUGGAAAAGUUAAAAAGCUUCAAUCUUCGUAUUUAUAUUUCAUCGUAAAUUGAAUAAAAUAUACUAACGUAUAUUAUCAAAAUUACUAAAAGAUAUUUCUCAACAACUAGUCCGUUAAAAACAAUCUACGGGCAAGAAUAAUUUCAAUUUCGUGUUAUAAUUCUAUUUUAAUUCAAACUUAAGAAACUUAAAUUAAAACCAAUGAAACCUGAAUCUUCGUAAGGUUGCUUCGUUAGAUUAAAUAAAAGAUGGAAAUUAUUCAAGAUAUUCCCAGCACGAUCAAAUGAUUCGAAAGAGAUUGCGAAUUUAUGUGAAACAGAUUUCAAUUAUAAUCUCAUUUUACCUGGAAAGUUAAGAGAUUUAAUUCGGUAUAAUUGUACUCGUAAGCUAAAUUUGUCGUAUUCCUACCCCAUUCAAACGUAAAUACGUCAUCGAAAAUAAGACGUAAAAGAAUAUUUUAUCAAAAUUACUCAAAGAUACUUUCAACGUAACCAAUCUGUUGAAAAUAGAUUGCAAAGGGGGAACAAUUUCGAUUUCGAUUUCGAUGUAAACGAACGUGACGACCGUAUUUACAUAUAAAUUAUGUUGGCAGUUUCUUGGCUGGAGGAACCUGGUCGACUUUUCUUUUUAUGAAUGUACUUUUGGCGUCAAGCAGUCGAGUCUGGUAUUCCACAGGCGGAAACAACGUCAAACGACACUGUCAAGCUUCAAGUCGUUCAAACUAUUGGUAUCGUAAUUUAUAACUUCGAAUUCCCAAUCGUUGGUAGAAAAAUAGUCGAACAAAAUUGGUCGACGCAGUUCGUUCUCCUGGCUGAGAAAUGGCAAGCAAUUAAAAUGCAAUUACGGUACAUUUGGCAACGGACAACGUCAAGAAUCUGUCCGUCGAUUGAGCUCGAGAACGCGUGCAACAACGCGGCUGUGAACUAUUAAUGGAAACAGAAAGACAAGCGGAGAACGCUUGUCCCUCUCUCACAAGCAACGAGUGGGGCGAUGUAAUUUCAGGGUCUGCGUCAAAAUUAAUCUUGCGAUUGAAUGGAACUGAUACCGUGUUGUUCGAGAAAAACGUUACUUUGAAUAACUAUUACUUGAAAUAAUAAACGAAGAAUAGAGAAACAAUAACAGAUAAGAAGCAUUGUGAUUUUUGAAUCGGAUUUUUUCAUAUUGAAGUUCUUUUCGUAAUAGAAAUAUAGAUGGAAUAGAAAAAUGAUUCUAAACAUAGGAACAUUGAAUUUCUCGAAUUGAAAAUCAUAGAAGAUACUCAAGGGAAAAGGAGAUACGUAAACACUGUUGUUACUGCCCCAUCUAUUUUCGUACACUCCAUUAGACAAGUUGUUUGUUCCUCUUGGCCCUCCAACUAUGAAUUAUAUGGGUAUUUGACGAACCACGGGGCAAGUAGACAAACCAAGAUCUGACUUUCAACCUUCCUACCACAAUAAAAUUGUUCUCUCUAAUAAUAUUGUAGGUAGAACAGAAAAGUGAGAAGCAUUGAAAAUUUGUCUCUAAAGUCGGAUAUCACCACGGUGGCAGUAUUAAAAAAUUUGUCUUCUGUUGACUUCUCUAUGACGACGGUAAAUAUAUCGCUUCGAUUAUGUGAUAGUGCCAUCAGAAAAAUAUACCGACCGCAAAGGGUUAAUAUUUCAAGGUGGGACUUAAAACAUUCCACUGUGCAUACGCAAGGUGUCUCGGUUGAAAUUACCUUGAUCUUUUUUUUUAUUAUUAUUUUUACCUUUCAUUAUUAUUAUUCGCAGCGAGAAAUAUUUGAAUGAAAGUGAAUGGUUUCGAAGGAUGCAUAUUCUGAUACUAUUAGCUUUUUUGUGCAUGGAUGCGUCAAGAAUUUAUGAAGAUCAACUUUGAUGUUUUAAAGAGAAUCACAUAUUUGUAAUUAUUAAUUUAUUAAAUCGUAUACUUUUUAAUGCACUAAUCGAUACAACUGGUCGAGAUAUUUAGGAGAUGUUUUAAAUUCAAUUUGUCAAAUUGAAUGUACAGUAGCGUGAAAAAGCUUUCGGAAGCUCUUUUCGUGUUACGAUAGAUAAAGAAAUACGCAUUGUAUGUACAUGAUAGAUCGUAAACUUUUUCAACGAUAACAUAUCUGCGAUAGAUUGUAACGUUUCGCCUUUUUUUCGACGAAAAAUUACUAAAGAACGAAUAUUGAUAUUCGUAUUUUCUACGCUUUCCGUCAUGUUGAGUAUACUUCCUAUUUUCACAAUAACAACCAUAAGAAUGAUUUACUUUAUACUUCCGCUGUAUAGUGGAGAAUGAGCCUGCAUCAAAAGUCAAAUAGAACCGAUUGUGACUUAUAGCCCAAUAUCAAGUCAUUUCCGGAAACUUUUCCACGUAGUUAGUAAAGAAUUAUUUGAUAUUUGAUAUUUUUCUUGAAAACUCUCGAGGAAUACAGUAUUUUUUAUGAUGAGACAUAUUUAAUGCUCAAUAAUUAACAGAAUCAUACAUGGAAACACCCUCUACAUAUCUACAUGCUUUUUAUUUCUUUAUUUCUCGUAGCAUAAAAGUAACAUAAAAAGAAGUUUCAGAAACUUUUCCAUACCACUGUAUGAAAGACAAGGACAAACGCGAAGCGAUAUUUUCAGUCAUAGAUUAAAUUUAACAAAUUCAAGUUAAUCUUCUAAUCUCCUAAUGGUUUUUCGUUGUAAAUAGGCUAAUAUUACCGUGUAGGAGAUGGACAUCUGCAUCGAUUAGUUCAUCACAAAAUGUACGAUUUCGUUUAAAACAUGAAAGUUGACCCUCAUACUUACUUAACGCGUUCACCCACAUAAAGCUAAUAACAUCAAAGUAUGCACCCCGCUAAACCAUUCGACUUUCGUUCAAACAUUUCCCACUGCAAAUAAUAAUAAUGAGAAAAAUCAAGGUGCUAAUUUCAGGUGAGACACCCUGUAUAAGUAGAUAAGAACAAGGCGGAACACUUUCUGCUCCACUAUGCACCAAAGAGUUAAACAAAGUUAAACAGCUGGACUUAGAAGUGUCGAGAGUCGUUAACGUCCACUGAAUCCAUUUCCUGAAUGUACAUUCCUGCAGUAUCCGGUAGUGCGGUCACGUAUAGGAGGCAUAAAGCUGCGUGGUUUUUAACAUCAGUGUCGAACAGAAUCUUGGGGCGUAUUAGAGGGCUGUUAAAGUGGGUCACUGUGCGGAACACGGUAUCUCCGAUGUGUAUCGUCGAUCGCUCGUUUACAGGCAUUUCCAAACGACUAUGCUUUGUGCAGUAAAACGUAGAUGGUGCGCACGCCCCGAUCUACGUACGUACGUAUACACGAUGGAACGUGUCGGAGAAAAAUGACCACAGGCUAGUGGAAUGGGACCAAAUUGAUUUUAUCAAAGGCCUCACUGCGUCACUGGGGCGCGUUCUUUUGCGUUCCGCUUGGUCCGAUGUUGUUGUGGUUACUGGUUUUAUUUGCGAAGGACAGAUCCUUCUGAGUAGCUCGUUACGUUGAUGGAAAUCGUGUGCGUGGUGCUGACGAAAAUGGCUCACGCUGAGACACAACGCCAUACCGAGAAACGGUGAGACGAGACGCCAUAGGAAAUUUUGUUCUCUGUGGGAUAGCUUGCAGGAGACUGUUCCUUGUAGCAUACGACGUUAUGAAAAAUUCUCACUUUAUUGCGAUAUGAAGAUUAUAUUAGAAAAACACGAUAAAUACAUUUUUGUUGGUUUUCUAACUUUUACCUUGGUCGAUUAAGAUAAGCAUCUCGGGUCAUUCUGUUGCCUUGUAGUUAUAAAUUAAUUAAUUAACUAGUUAAAAAAGAAACUUUAUUAAGAAGAGCACCUAAAAAUGGCUAGAACAGAGUUCUUUGAUAUGACGUAGUUGAGAAGGAGGUCAGUCUGUUAAAUCGGAAGCUUUUAAAAAUAGGUAAUAGAUUCAUGAAGUUUUGUGAAGAGAAAAAAAUCUGUGUGAUUAUGUAGUAUUAGGGCGAUCGAUAUUUCUGAAAUAUUUAAGAGACUGGCGAAAAUAUUUAACCUCAAAAUCGAAUAAAAAGACAGUCUUCAUAACGUGAUAUUGACUGAUCUCGUAUAUUGAAUUUUAAGAAUGGCACGUGUAACCUAUCGUAUUUCUUUGCUGCGACUUUCGUAUAAAUAUUACUGAAAAUUUUGCUCCUUGUAAAGUACGAUGCUAGCGAAAACUUUGUUCUGUAUAAAGAAAAAAAAUUCUUCAUAAAGCAUAUCGUUACUGAAAAUCUUGUGCUAGCAUCAUCGAAAGUAACUUUUAUGAGAUACGACGCCAUUAAAAAUUCUACCUACUUCUGUAAAAUAUAGGACCAUCGAAAACUACCUCCAUGGGAUACAACGCCAAUUCAACGAAAGUUGAUCCUCUAAGGAACACAACACCACUGAGGAUCUCUCCCCUAGGACAGGAAGUCGUCAAAAAUUUAGUUUCUCGUAAAACACACCGCCAUCCAAAAUCGCGCACACGCAGUAUCGUUUGAAAAUGAUACAAAGAAGAUACGAAGAAACGAAAGAAAACUUUCUAUAAUUAUAGUGCUCGCCAAGAGCCAACUAGAUAGCCCACGUGUUGCACAUGUAAUGUAACGCUGUUAAUCUUAUCAGUCCUCCUACAACUACUUCUACGAUCGUUUGUUUUCCAACAACUUCUAGUUGACGACCUAACACGACCGUGCAAUUAGCGUGUAGAAGAUGAGGAAAACAACAGAUGCAGGCGCUUCGUCCAAGCAAGCCUCGAGGAAGUUGCAACGUUUUUCCUCCAUCCAACGAUACCGUUACCUUCUCUUGGCUAGAUCCAACUCAAUCGGUAUACUCUUCCGAGGCGACGUGAAAUGCUAAUGUUCACACCGACGAACAAGACGAAGAGGUUCAAUUAAUUCCAAAGCAAACAGCCGCGCCUCAUUAUGCUGCUCGCUUUUCAAGACGUUUCCACGACCAGAGGACAACCUCUUGUCAGAAAUCUACAAUCACUUUCCUAAUUGCAGCUACAUUAAAUAUCCUAUUACUCCCCAAUUUUGUUAUUAAUAGAAAAUUAAUUCUGAAGAUAUCGAAAGCAGUUACCUGUACGUUUUAAUGGAAUUAAUUUAUCAAAGAAUCCUUUAAAGCUAUAGAAUUUUAUCAGCAGAAUAUUUCAGGUAUCGAGAGUUAACAUUUUUUUUACAUGCUUGAGUUCAAUGGAAGACUCAAUUUUUUUCAAAUUGGUAGCGUAUGUACAUGUUAUGGGCAAAAUACGAAAUUUAGCUCAACUGUGUAAUCCCUUCAAGCGAUAUUUUUUAAACUUCAACGUAGUGAAAUUUCAAUCGUAAAUAUCUUGGAAAAUAUUGGAUAUCUAACUGUAUAGCAGAACGUUUUUAGAAACGAAACGACGAAAUCUUUACCAAUGUGCAAUGUUUCAACUUGCUAUCUAAAUCUUGGAAUAUCCUUGACACGAAGAUUUUGCGCUCUUCUUAUUACAGCCGUUUUUUCCGAAGUAUUCCGUGACAGAAAACGAGCCAUCGUCGUUUAACCCAUGACAAUAGCGAAAAAAGAAGACCAGUGCAAUAAGGACCGUCUGCGUACUCGUAACACGUGUUACGCAAUUUUUGCUCAUUGUCGGAAUAGAAAUAAAACUGCCAACGAGAUACAGCUGAAUCGAACCGGGUCUUAUCAUCGUUGCUAUUUCCAGCUCUCUCUAGAUUGCCAUUUAUUUCACAGAACGUUUACAAAACUACAUCGAUUUAUGUGAAACGACGCGGAAACCAGCUUUAUCACCUUGUAUGCCUUUGUACGUUUUGAAAUAUCGCGAAAAGUUGCACAAACUAUCGUGCACUCGUGCAGGACACACAGAUAACCCGUUCCGAAGCAACAUUGAAACACCACGGGGGACUUUCGAUGGAAAACGUCGACGCGAAUCUUCGAAAGUUGAUAAUGCUUCAUCCGUGAAAGUGUAACCCCUCAACGAUGGUGUAAACCUUUAUGAAACUUGCGAAACAAUGUGUAUUAAGAAAUCUCUAAGAUUUACGAUACUUCGGUUUCGAAGUAAAUACCGAAACUAAUACCGAGAGAAGUUGUGAUUUACUAUUUUAAGCUGAGUUAUUAAGCUCAUUCAAACCCUGAAUUUAUAAUCCACAGAUCAUUCCAGUGACUCAUGAAAGGUUGGAAAGUCACUUUUGAACCGAUCGCUGCUAUUAUUUUUAGUAUUAUUUAUUUUGUAAGCAGCAAUUUCGUAUGGCGGAGAAACGACUGGAGCUUUCAGCGUUUGACAGAAAAGAAGCUAAAAGUAGGAAUAACAAGGUUACAGAUUAAAUUAUUGUGGAGAAUACGUAAAACGGAUUGUUUAGGGAUUAUCAAUCGCAAUGAAUCGAGACUUCAAGAAAGUUAGAGGAGAUACGCACGAUAAAUCAAUUUAAAACGAUUCAGGGGAAAAGGGGAGCGUUUAAACAAUCGGUGAUCUGUUCUUCGGGGAGCGAAAGGAACAAAUAAUUAAUUAGGUCGAUUUCCGUGACGUUCGUAAUUAAGGUUGUGCCGCCUGUGAUGGUUUCGAGUCGAUCGGCGAGCUGGCUUAUCGACGACGUUCAAGUUUAUCUGAGUGCAAUAAUUAUCAACGAAGAAUUAUCUCUGUCAGCAAUUAGCAACAUUGUGUUGUGUUAAGCAAGCUUGUGGCCGCGAGUGUCGUCAGUGAAGUUUGCAAAUAACUUCCGAUGGCUUUGAAUUCUCUGCGUAAUCGCUCAAUCCUCUGCAAUCCCAAGUAACUUUAAAAUUAUACGCAUAUCUAUACGUACAUAAAUAUUUUUCUAUUAUUCUAUUAACGUACUUUUAUAUCGAUAAAUAUAAAUUCUUCGUGAAUUUGAUCAAACAUAAUCUCUUGACCCGCAUUACAAAGUGCAAAGCAGUGGAUGUGUUUUCAAUGUCUGUUCGAUUUUCCCAUCUACUUUUUGUAUCUAUAUAGUUCUUUAACAGUUAUCUUAAAGUCAGUCUUCUAUAAUGUUCAUCCACAGCAACGAUCCUUUAAUUGCUUUUAAACGAUGUAUUUAGAAGUGCAACGUCCGAAAUCCGUCCUAAGUCGAUAGUCGUGAAUUGAGUAUAAUAAAUAAAAAUAAAUAAUAACAAUGUAUUUAGACGAUAGUAAAAUAAUAACUAACACAAAUUUUACUUUCCUAUUUUCAAUUGCUAUACAUCCUGUAACUGAUAACCAAGUAUAUGUGUACAGUGUGUACAGCUAUUUAUCUAGAAACGUGUAAAUAUCUUGAAAAUUAUAGAAGAUACGGAAAAAUAUCUGAAACAAAUUACCUACAAUGUCAACAGAGACAUGCCGUACCGAUAUGUAUUUUAUCUUGCGAUGACCUUGGAAAGAUUACGUUUAUAUUUUCAAGUGACAAUUUAUAUAUUUUUAUUCCAUGUUCCUGUAACUGACAGAGAAACGUUUUCAAAGCACUAUUCGUAUCAUCCGCGCAAACCACUAUGAGGAUAUUAAAUUUCAAAUUUGAUAUGCCGCCGGCAUUGGCGUUAUCCAAUGUACACCGCGGGGAGGUUGCUCGGUCGGACUUUGUACAUCAUGGUGGCUCUAAAAAGAGCCGAUUAUUUAUGUACGUGUGUUUAUACUAAAUACUAUCUCUAAAUAUUACCUCUAAAUACUACGUCUAAAUACUGCCUCUAAAACAACCAGUCGUUUUACCUUCUACGUUUUCAGUAUUAUAGUUUCAGCAUUAAAAAGGCUACAACUUUCCAGAAGACUACAACAUUCUGAAGAAUUUAUAUCUCGAUAGUGGCUUAUGCGACAGAUGCAAGAAAUAUAUAAGCAAUGUUUUGAAAAUAUUCUGAUAGAGAAGAAUAGAAAAUAAGAAAAUAUAGUUUCCAUCUGAAAGUAUAAACAUGACAUCUAUAAGGUUCGUUGCAAAAUGAAAUGUAUGUAGAUAUGACGUGUCCUCCUUGACAUCGUACAACAUUCGUUUCAAACAAUUUUCCGUAUCGCCCAUAAUUUCAGGCACAUUUACACGUUCCCAGAUAAAUUGAACACACUGUAUAUAACAAUUAUUGGUAGAAAUUGUACAUAUCCAGGUAUACAGUUAUUCAUUCAAUUCAGUUAUAUAUAUAUAAUACAGUUAAAUGUAAUACAAUUAACGGAACAUACAAAUCGUAAAUAAGAACAAUACCUGUAACAAACAAAUAAUCAGAGUAAAAGUGAAAUUUUUCGAAGGUAGAAAUAAAGACGGACGAACAAUAAAAUUAAUUUUAUAAACAUGGCUUCAUGACACGACAUUCCGAGAUACCAUCGAUGGAUCGAUCGACCCGGACACACCGAUUCGUUAAGUAGCAUGCACUACUUGUACCUGUUUUUCUUGACCGGUGUUCGCAUUGCGUAAGUAAUUUAUGAACCAUCGAGAAAAGGAAAAACAUACUGCGCUGGCCUUUCCAACGAUGAUAAACAACAACCUAAAUCCGAAAACGCAACGAUCGAUAGAAUGUUUUAGUGUGUUUGCACCGCGUAGGCCAAUUAUAACUCACGAUAGUGAAUAUACACGGUAUGGCUCACAGUGAAGGAUAGGCAUAAAUUAAUCCAGACUAUACUGAAUCUCCUUUGACUCAAUAAUAGCAAAUGAAAGCUAAUAAGCAAAAUAAGCUUCGUAUAAUAUAAAGACUACGAGGGAAAUAUAUGAAAAUAUCACAUCUUUUGCCUUUUAUAGAAACUUUCAAAUUCAAUACACCGUCAACUAUUGUCCCAUAUUGUCUAAAUUGCUUUUUCAUUUGAUUUAAGGAUCACAUGUACGUCAAUCUAUUCUUCAACAGUUUAAAAAUACCGAUUAUUAUAACGUUAUUUCGUGAAUCUUACAUGAAACUUUUUGGAUUUGCCAGUCAUUUUAAAAAUGUAUUACAUUUUUAUGUAUAUAUAUGCAUUAAAUUCUUUUCUCCACUAAUGUAAGUCAUGUUAAAAUUCUGCCUUUCGAUCACCAAAUAUCUGACACAAACAUCCGACGAUUAGUAAACAUAGCAACAUUUCCAACGAAUCUAACAACUAAAACGAAUGUUUCUUAUUAUCGUGUGAACGAAGAAGCGAUUCAAGGCCUGGCCUGUAUCUAGCAUAAAUUUUAGCCUCUGGCCUUUUAAUCAAAUCGGUCACAACAAAACAGGCCACCUGAAUGAAACUCGAUUGCGAGCGGAUAAUAUGAGGAAUCAGGACUAGUGCUUAGAUUGGCAAACCCGUCGAAAGCGAUGUCAAGGAACUUUUGCCACUGGACGUCGGUCAAUCGAUAGUGCUUUUUGCAUGCAUGUCGGCCAGCUGGCAGGCUGAGGAAAGCGUAAAUGCACACACUGUUACAUAAGUGUAUCCGGUGUACGAAGAGCAGGCGACCUUGGAAUAUCAAAUGCUGGAAACGUACAAUGAACACGUAAACGCGACGGAUUCGCGAGCCACGCUUCUCCUCGAGGAUAAAUUAUUCGCCACAGCGCAAGGUUACCAGGAAACGACGGACGACGAUAACGGUGCGUGAAAGGAAAUUAAGUAAUUUAUGUUUGACGCAAUAAUGAUAAACAACGUUCGACAACAGAAUUGAGAAGACACUUCUUGGGAGUGUGACGCUUUGAAACAGGACACUCAGUGAAGGAGUGUUACGAGUACAAUAUUUUUCGUCAAGAACGAGCGAUACGAUACCAACAGUUCCCGCCACAGUGUCCAUCGGAGCAUGUGAGUAACGCGAACCGUCGAACGCGUCCGAUGCAUCCACCGAAUUCGAGAUUCAUCGCGGAAUGAGAAAAGUCGCGAUAACGUUGCAUCAUGGUGACUGGUAGGUACGCAUUUUCAUGCAAAUUCAUAUUUUUCAGAGUAUAAUUAAAAGAUGGAACCUGUGAUUUGAAUAUUUUAUAUAUAUUUUUUUUAUAUAUUCUCUCGUAUUGCUUGCAUUCUGUGCGAUUUUAUACUUUCAAAUUUCCUGCAAACGAAUGAAAAGCCGCGGUCUACUGAUUAAAAUCGAUUACACGAUUGUAUUGAAUUCUUUACAUCGUUCGAUUUGCCUGGGUGUCGUCUGUCGCAAUGUCUGUGUAUAUAACGGCGGGAGACGAACGGUACUUUGUGAACGAAGCUUAAUACCUGUCACGUCGUAACGCGUAAAAACGCGGGAAAAUUCAAUAUUUCGAUAAAAUUUGAUGGAAUAAAGUUAUGUAUAUUUAUACUAUGUAAAAAGAUUCAUUCGUGAAAUGAUUAGAAUAUUUAGUUAUUUAUAGUGAUUAUAUGAGGAUAUUUAAUCUUAGAAAAAUAACGAUUGCAUAAUAACUCUUUAAACGCUAUCUUUUUAUAUAUGUAUUUUAGAAACGAUAUAUGAAGCGUCGUUUGCCAAAAUGGAAAGCUUGUCUUUCGUAUGAAUAUUUCCUACUAAAUUGAAGGAAGAAUAAUAAAGAUCGAAAAUUGUCACUUAUUUAUUAAUCCUCUUUUGCCAUUCAUCGAAAGACGUUCGAAUGAAAAAAUGCAUAGAUCGAAAUUGCAUAUAAAUAUGCAAUUACAAUCGUAGAAGAAGAAACAAACUUUGUCAUUCGCAUCAUGUAGGCGUUCAAGGUGACACUUUGUGAUUGUACGAUGAAUGUUCUAAUACAUACGUUUUACAAUACAUUAAACAAUGUUUUUUAAUGCGGCUAGAUUUGUGUCAACAUUAUACACUACCUAUUAUAGGGAACUUGGUGACUUUUUAAAAUCUACAGAAACGAUAAGAAGUUACGCAACAAGGAAUAUUAUAUGUGUUGAUGUAUGUACAUAUAUUUUUUUAAUUAAUAUUCUAUUCACUAUCUUUAUCGUUUAAACGUUAGUCGUUAAUAUUAAUAUUUCAAGUGGUCUUCCUAUGCUAACGAAUGCAAUUCUUACUAGAACUAUACCGACCAUACUUUUCUGUACAAUUUCAAAUUAAUAAAAAAUAAUAAGAACGAAAUACGAAUAACCGAUAGAACUCGAAUAGCAGAUAAAACGGAUAUAUUUCAAAUUAACGUGUAAUGAAACAUUCCUUCGUCGUAAACGUUAAUUGACUUUAACCGUUUUACCAGCGUUUUAACCGUUUCAUGCUUCCUAAUAAAAUCUUGAAAAACGAAUACCUACGCUUCUACUCUUCGCGUACACGGAAUACAAAAGCAUAGAAAUUCACGCGAUAAAAGAAACUCGAGUAAAGAGCAAAGUAUGUGCAAAUACCUUCGAGUUAUUUCGAUCAAAGAUUCCAUUCUACUACGAGAGCCGACUUUAGCUGUUCUACUCGUACUCUACUACUACUUUACAUUUUAUCAAAAAAAAAAAUUCAAUCGAAACCGUAUGGAAAAAAUGCUGUGCUGACACUAGUUUACUAAAAACUAAUUUACCAGGAAUUUUUCGAAAAAAACAAGUUUUACCAGUAACUGCUGAUUUUUCAAAUAGAAAGACAGUUUAUUAAAAACCAAUUCGAAUUUAUGCAAAUUAAAAGAAAAAAAAAGGAACAUAAUCAGGAAUUAAUUUACCAGAUUUCAAAUAAUGCAAAUAAAAGAUUUCUCAAAAAAGAUGUAUCGGAGAAAGAAAUAUAUCAGAACUUAAUGUAGCAAAAUUGUAGUAGGCAAAUCCUGUGUCUAAAGACGAGAUAAGGAAAAAUUUAGAAAAUACAAGUGUUUAUAAAAUAGGUGAGGCUUAAGUAUAGAGGAAGAGAAAGAACUUAAAAUAGAGAGUGAGGGAUUUGUACGCGAUACGCAUCCGGUUCCUCCCACAUUUCCGUUUCACGAGAUAACAGUCAAUUCGGCUUUCAAUCUAUUUCGAUGUGAACGUCUCCUUUGGAGAAUAUGUUUUGAUUGAAUCGAAUCCGGGUGAAAAAAAAUAACGAGUCAGAUUGUCGGCUUAUUUAUCACGAAGUCGCUAUUAAUACGGAUUCUAUAAUGCAUACAGUCCGCUUUCACCGUUAUUAAAAUGGAAAUAUUUAUCUAACUUUAUUUAUCUGAUCGAAUCGCCGUAUAAAUUCAGUUAAAUUUGAAAUGCGAGAAUUUAAAGUUCCCGUUGAAGCAGACCUGCAUCGAUUUCUUUUAGCUUCGCUUGGAAUCUUUUUAUGUUUUCAUUAUUACGCAAACAAACAAUCCUUUUCUUUUAAAAUAAACAACCGUAUAACUUUCUGCUAUUUUUAUUUUUUAUAAAAAAUACCGGAAUACUUUCGAUUUAAUUGUUCUUAAAUAUCUUUUUAUGGUUGAAAGAAAAUAUAAAAAGGAAAUUUUUAAUAUCAAAAUAUAGGCAAAGAUGAAAAUAUUACAAAUAUAAGUGAAAAAUGUGCUAAAUGAAAAAUUUACCCCGCAAACAAAAAUAUAUACAAAUUUUGUCGUUUCCCUAAAACAACAAAGAAUACGUAAGUAAACGGCGAAGAUAUAUAAACGCCAACGAAAUUUAUAAGAAACAUGUUUGCACAAAGGCAGAUGAUGCCUUUCCAAAAAAGGACUAUUACCAACGUUAGUACGCGUAAACGAAUCGAGAGAAAGGCUUUUGAGAAAUUUGAAAACUCACACGGGGGAUCUCUAUCGAAGGAGGAAGGAACGAACACGUCCAAUUCACUUUACUCACCGAAACGCUUGCAAAUUUAAUGUAAGCUUCAACAAAGACUGAUCGAUGUUACGAGGCACUAAAGAACUCGGUAGAGAGAGAGAGAGAGAGAAAGAGACGUUCUAGAAAAACUGACUAGCAUUCGUACAUGAACGUCUGCACAGCAAUGAUAAGCGAGACGCGACGUUACGUUACGCAAAAAUCAAUUUCUUACGAAUCGAGGUCAGAUACAAACAUGUACAGGUAUAUUUGUAAUUCGUUCUUUUGUCUUUAUAAUUCUGAAUUUUUUGUGUCAAUAUUAGCUCGUUACAUCGAGGAUUAAACGAAAGUUGAAAAUAACGAAUUCCAUGACAUUGAUAAUAUUAAAACAACGUUAGGAUAGUCGUUAGGAGGUGUACGUGAUAUUAAAACAAUUGAUCUUUUUAUCUUUAAAUACGAAAAGUGUAUAUUACCUUUGUUCUUUCCACCUAACUCAAAUGUUUACCGUGGAGGGUUAAGGAAUUAUUAGUCACUAUUGUCACGCGAUUUAUCGAAGAUAUCAUUGUAUGAAAAGAACAAAUCGCGACAUUGUUGUAACUAUAUUAUUUUUAUUGCCCUUUCUUCUCCUCUUACUCCUCAUUCAUAUUGUUUAUCGUUUUUACGUAUUAUUAUCGGUGUAAAAUUUGACACAUCGCGUCAUUCCCAUGAACUACUCGGUUGAGGUUGAAACACGUUGAUGACGUCUCAAUUAUCGUUAGUUGCGCUUCAUUCUAUGUCAAACCAACGCUCACAUAUAUAUAUAUAUAUGUGUGUGUGUGUAUGUGUGCCAUUCUUUGACGCGCAACUUGAAAUAUUUACGGUUGCCAAUGUAUGUAUAAAUAUAAAAGAUAUUUCACAUACGAGUCCAUUCGAAUCAACCGGUCUCGAUAUUAAAAACUUCGUUAGUGAA